rnacentral:rRNA from 1 species
CCUACGGGAGGCAGCAGUGGGGAAUAUUGCACAAUGGGCGAAAGCCUGAUGCAGCAACGCCGCGUGAAGGAAGAAGUGUUUCGGUUCGUAAACUUCUAUCAACAGGGACGAAAGAAAUGAUGGUUCCUGAAUAAGAAGCGCCGGCUAACUACGUGCCAGCAGCCGCGGUAAGACGUAGGGGGCAAGCGUUAUCCGGAAUUACUGGGUGUAAAGGGUGAGUAGGCGGCAUGGUAAGCCAGAUGUGAAAGCCUUGGGCUUAACCCGAGGAUUGCAUUUGGAACUAUCAAGCUAGAGUGCAGGAGAGGAAAGCGGAAUUCCUAGUGUAGCGGUGAAAUGCGUAGAUAUUAGGAAGAACACCAGUGGCGAAGGCGGCUUUCUGGACUGAAACUGACGCUGAGGCACGAAAGCGUGGGGAGCGAACAGGAUUAGAUACCCGAGUAGUC